rnacentral:misc_RNA from 1 species
GGCCACUUGAAAUGCAGGUGCGGCUGGACACUUCUUCUGAGCUAUAAGCAUUACUUAUUUAAUCCCGUCAAACGGAUUAUUUCUAUUGCUACAGCUAACAUAAAGGUUGAUUGUCCUUGUGCCCGACUGAUGCAGGAAAACAAAGAGUAAUCUUUGUUCAACUCGAUCUCAAAUCAAGUAAGACUACCCGCUGAACUUAA